AACGAACGCUGGCGGCAUGCCUAACACAUGCAAGUCGAACGAGACCUUCGGGUCUAGUGGCGCACGGGUGCGUAACGCGGGGGAACCUGCCCUUAGGUUCGGAAUAACUCCCCGAAAGGGGUGCUAAUACCGGAUAAUGUCCUCGGACCAAAGAUUUAUCGACUUUGGAGGGGCCCGCGUUGGUUUAGCUAGUUGGUAGGGUAAAAGCCUACCAAGGCGACGAUCCAUAGCUGGUCUGAGAGGAUGAUCAGCCACACUGGGACUGAGACACGGCGCAGACUCCUACGGGAGGUAGCAGUGGGGAAUAUUGGAAAACGGGCGAAAGCAUGAUCCAGCAAUGCCGCGUGAGUGAUGAAGGCCUUAGGGUUGUAAAGCUCUUUUACCCGGGAUGAUAAUGACAGUACCGGGAGAAUAAGCUCCGGCUAACUCCGUG
rnacentral:rRNA from 1 species